GGGGUGGUACGGGGAGCUGAGCAGGGUCUUGACACCACGGACCUUCCAUAACUGCUGGGUUAGAUCUGCGGUGAACUGGGUCCCUCUGUCAGAUAGGAUUUCCUGAGGAAAUCCCACUCUGGUGAAUAUCCCGACUAGGGCACUGGCGACAGUGUCAGCCUGGAUAUUCGUCAGAGCGACAGCCUCUGGGUAGCGGGUAGCAUAGUCCACUACUGUAAGAAUAUACUUCUUACCCGAGGGACUGGGGUUAGGUAGAGGUCCCACUAGGUCGACUGCCACCCGGCUAAACGGUUCCUCGAUCACAGGCAUGGGUGACAGUCGAGCUUUAGGGUGGUCCCCUCUCUUCCCUACUUGUUGGCAUGUGUCACAGGUACUGCAGUAACGCCGCACGUCUUUCGAGAUCCCAGGCCAGAAAAAGGUCUGUGUGAUCCUGUAGGCGGUGUGGUUACCUCAUAAAUGUCCUGCCAACGGAAUGUCAUGUCCAAUUCGGAGAAGUUCCAACCGGUACUUUCUGGGUACCACUAGUUGGUGCUUCUGCGAAGGGAUACAGCCUCU